GACAUCGUGGCCGAGCGGUUAAGGCGGCAGACUCGAAAUCUGCUGGGGUCUCCCCGCGUGAGUUCGAAUCUCACCGAUGUCG
rfam:Guillardia theta CCMP2712 unplaced genomic scaffold GTITHscaffold_45, whole genome shotgun sequence.